rnacentral:rRNA from 1 species
UACGGAGGGUGCAAGCGUUAUCCGGAUUCACUGGGUUUAAAGGGUGCGUAGGUGGGCAAGUAAGUCAGUGGUGAAAUCUCCGGGCUUAACCCGGAAACUGCCAUUGAUACUAUUUGUCUUGAAUACUGUGGAGGUCAGCGGAAUAUGUCACGUAGCGGUGAAAUGCUUAGAUAUGACAUAGAACACCAAUUGCGAAGGCAGCUGGCUACACAAAUAUUGACACUGAGGCACGAAAGCGUGGGGAUCAAACAGG